GGCAGCCGCCGCGGUAACACCGGCAGCCCAAGUGGUAGCCACGCUUAUUGGGUCUAAAGCGUUCGUAGCCGGCUUGGUAAGUUCCUUGGUAAAUUUAGCCGCUUAACGGUUAAGCUUUCAGGGAAUACUGCUUGGCUUGGGACUGGGAGAGGUCAGAGGUACUCCAGGGGUAGGGGUGAAAUCCAUUAAUCCUUGGGGGACCACCGGUGGCGAAGGCGUCUGACCAGACCAGCUCCGACGGUGAGGGACGAAGGCUAGGGGCGCGAACCGGAUUAGAUACCCGGGUAGUCCUAGCUGUAAACGAUGCGGGCUAGGUGUUGGCAUUACUGCGAGUGGUGCCAGUGCCGAAGGGAAGCCGUUAAGCUCGCCAUCUGGGGAGUACGGUCGCAAGGCUUAAACUUAAAGGAAUUGGCGGGGGAGCACCACAACGGGUGGAGCCUGCGGUUCAAUUGGAUUCAACGCCGG
rnacentral:rRNA from 1 species